GCCGUUCGGGCCUACCCAGCAGGUAAGUCUUAGGCCAUCGCCUGCGGUGUCGGCCCCGGGAGCAGCGAGACCCAAGAUUGCAUCAAACGUUUGCCCCGUCUCUGCAUAUGUGACUGGACGUGAAUGAUGCUUCAUUUUGGCACCCCCUUUCCCUGCUCAGGUAGAAUGUAAACAAUUGAAAAAAAUCCCUUCCCAAUCAGAAUACCACCCACAGGACAACGAAGAAAACCUAUCUUCAGUCCCCACCCACGAAAUGCUGGGGGGUGGGGAGGACUGGAAAAGGAGUAAGGGGAGAGGAAGGGUGAGCAGCUGCAAGAAGUCUUCACACCUCUCUGCGGUUCCUGCUAAACGCGCUCAUGUCCUGGGUAUGGAAGGGACUUAAGAAUUCAGGAAAGAUCAAAAUAACGGGCCUCUUCCCCACUCCCUCGCCCUCCCUUCCCCGCUGCUGGGGGGUUAGGGAGGCUCCGUGGAGCUCCAGCACUCUAGAAGGAUCGGGUGAGGCGCGAGGCCUUGCGGGCGGGUGAACCCAAGGUGGGGUGGAAGGCUCCAACCCGCCCAAUCUGAGCCCGAGGCCUGCUGAGAAGCGUGGGGGCCUUGGGAUAGUUCCAGAAUGAGGAUGUGCGUUUCUAGCUGCUUUGCGCCCUCCUCCCCCAAAAAUCUGCUACCACAAUUCCACCCUGGCGGCACGCCCCCAAGACUCCUUUGUCGCCCCAGGGGCGGGACCUGAGCUGUCGAUUUCAGGAGCCCUUCGUGACUUCAAAAGUCCUGGGCACUGUUGCUCAUGAGUGCUGCACAACUGUCGCCCUCUAAAGCCACCUCCAUCCCUCACUGGGCUGGCCUCCUGAGCCUUCGGUGAGGAAACGGGGUUCCGAGUUGCCCGCCUGAGAGCUUAACAGUCUGACUAGAAAAGGGCUAAUUCGCUUUCUGUGCAAAUCUCUUGAGCUAAUUAUUUAAUCUGAAACAUGGGCAGGUAAAGGACCAUUGGCGGGCGUGGGGAGGGAGGUGUAGAAUCUUUCCCACACUUUUUGUCACCUUAAAGAAAAAAAAAAAAAAGACACCCAAACUCCUCUGGUCUGAAUGGGCUGCCUGGAACUGGGCUUCCCGGGGCCAGGAGUGGGCCCCUAGAAGUUUCCCAGUUUGGGGUGGGGCCGGGGUUCCGAAGUCUAGAGCUGGGAGUCGGGUUCAGCGGCCCGAGACGCUGGCUCUCCCAGACUCCCUUGCGCCUGGGCAGUGCGCGGGGGCGGCUCGGGUCCCUCCCGGGCCGGCGGGGACCCUCAGGCUCCCGGGGCGCCGCCCACCAGCCCGACCCGGCGGCCUAGAAGUUCCCAUUCUGCUCCCGCCUCGCCCCGGCCGGCCAGCGCAGGGCCCCUCAGGCCCGCAAUCUCCAGGCUCAAACGGCGAACAGGUCCCCGCAUCCGCCUGCCUUUGCACUUGGGGGUGGGGGAGCCACCUUGUGACGCCCCUUCUGCCUCUCACCAGCUUCCCCCUUUCUCCCCGUUCUGUACGGUUCCCCCUGGAGCCAGAAGGAAGCCCGGUGCCAGCCAGCCUUCCUGAAAGACCAAGCCCGCGCCAUCCGGCUUCCUCCAGUGGACGCCUGCAGGACCCAGGAAUGUUUUUCUUGAAGGCAUCCAGCAUCUCCAGUUAGCAGUACUGAUUUUUUUUCCCGCCAACAAAGGAACACUACAUCAACACUCUUGGCGGGGACCUGGACACAGAAGACUCCUGUUUCAAGAAAAUACAAUCAUCUCUCAAAGGCUGUAAUUUAUAUGCAUUUUAAAACUCUAGGCAUUGAAAACCACCCAAGUGUCCCAAAUAGAAGGGUAAUAUAUAAUCAAUCACUCAGUGUAAUAUUAUACAUCCUUUAAAAAUGUUAUUGGGAAAUGUUUUAUGAUCUGUAAGUCCAAGGAAUCCUCUCCCACCAUUUCUUUCCCCCCCGCUGUUCCCCCAUACCCACACUUCUUUGUUCCAAUUGGCAUGUAAAUUUGGUUUUCCCGCCAAAUGAGUCAGUCAUGAUGGGAACCUCAACUGAUUUGAACAGAUGUGUGUCAAUGUUACUUGGAAAACUAGAUGUCAAUAACCAGGGUCACAGAAAAAGGCAGUGGUCACAACUCUGUAAAAAUGUAUGCAUGCACACAGACAAGGACUAAAGUGGAACCCCACACAGGAAAACAGUGGGCUGUACUCCAGUGCUGGGACAUUGAAUGACUGUAUGCUGCUUUUGAUUUCCGUUAAUAUGGGCAACUGUCCAAUUAAAAAAAAAACUCCUAAGGACUCUGCAGUGCAAAUUGUUUUGCUGAUUGUUUUAAAACACCAUACCUAUCAACUCAUCAAGGCAAAUGGGGCAGCGGGGGACUGGGUUCGUUCCCUGAAUCCUGGACUGCUAUAGAGCUCAGGGCAACAUUUGCAGAAAACCUGAGCCUAUGAG
rnacentral:lncRNA from 1 species